AUUGAACGCUGGCGGCAGGCCUAACACAUGCAAGUCGAGCGGAUGAAGGGAGCUUGCUCCUGGAUUCAGCGGCGGACGGGUGAGUAAUGCCUAGGAAUCUGCCUGGUAGUGGGGGAUAACGUCCGGAAACGGGCGCUAAUACCGCAUACGUCCUGAGGGAGAAAGUGGGGGAUCUUCGGACCUCACGCUAUCAGAUGAUCCUAGGUCGGAUUAGCUAGUUGGUGGGGUAAAGGCCUACCAAGGCGACGAUCCGUAACUGGUCUGAGAGGAUGAUCAGUCACACUGGAACUGAGACACGGUCCAGACUCCUACGGGAGGCAGCAGUGGGGAAUAUUGGACAAUGGGCGAAAGCCUGAUCCAGCCAUGCCGCGUGUGUGAAGAAGGUCUUCGGAUUGUAAAGCACUUUAGUUUGGGAAGAAAAGCAGUAAGUUAAUACCUUGCUGUUUUGACGUUACCAACAGAAUAAGCACCGGCUAACUUCGUG
rnacentral:rRNA from 1 species